GCCAAUUUUAAGUUGAUUGCGAUGCAGCAAAGAAAUGUGCUUGGAUUUGUGUUGGUGAACAUGUCUGAAUUCUUACUUGUGUACACCGUUUUGUGGAUUUCAACGCACGUCUCUAGGAAAGGUCUUUGCGUGAUUGACUGAAGACAUGCUGCCGAGCUUGCUGUUGCAUGCUGGGGGUUGGGUAAGAGGACAAGUCAUAUUUUGGGAAAACCUCCAGCUGGCACUUGGUGGAGGUCGUGUGUGAGGCCCUGCACCUGCUGCAUACAUCAUCACCCUUGAGGUGGGCCCUGCGAUGAGGAGGCGACUUGUCCGAUUGUAGCUGAGAUAGGCGCCAGCGCCCCCAGGGACCCCGAACGGGAAUAAGCGGCAGAAAAUGGAUGGAUGGAUGGACCCUCACAGUGACAAAGUUUGCAUCCCAGUAUGAGGUGCCUUCUUUAUUUUCUAAAUAUUUUGUAUUUCGAGGGACGUUUAGCAACCGACGCCCUAUUUUCACAUUGCCCUAUUGCAUCAUGUGUCUUGCAGACAUGAACAGGAUUAGCACUUAGUAUACCAUGAAGGUAAAAACCGGCAGAUGGGCUGUGAAUACAACGCAAGGUAAUUAUCACUGUCUUUACAGUCAGCUGAAUGCUGUUGUUGGAAUAUAUUGUAGGCUUGUAAUA